UUUUAUUAACUGCUAAAUUGUACAAAUCACGUGUUAAUUUUUACCAUGUUUGCCAUUGAUGCAUGCACUUGGCACUGAUAAUCCUACUGAAAAAAAAAAAAAAAGAAAUCUUGAAUCGCGUUUCUAAUAUAAUUUCAAUUAAUGAGAGUCAUGACUAUGUAACAAAGUGGAUCCUUUUUUGCUUCUAUAAAGAAGAAUUGCAGAAUGGUAGCCAGGCCCUAAGAAAAGCAAAGAGAACAUGGGUAGUAGUUUGAAUUUCCCAUAUUUAUUUUCAUCUAUAACUCCAAAACUGCCCCUAUAUUUUCUUUAAUUAGGAAUUGGCACAGUGCUAUAAGAUAAUAACAACAGAGAGAGAGAGAGUAAGAGAGAGAACAUCAUACACUACAGGGGUGUGGUAAAAAUCUCAUCUUUUUGCUUCCUUUAAAUUCAGAAGCAAAAAAGACCAUCUGGGUUUUGAUCUGAAGGGGCUUGAAGGAGAAGGAAGAUCAAGAAUUUGGUAGAUGAUACACAUGUUUAUAUAUACAUGAGAGAAUUAGUUAUUUCAUCACUACCACAUUACUAAUUGAAUAUAAUGAUAAAGCUUGUUGGGUUGAAAUCAGUGAUGUUCUUGGUGGUGUUGACCAUGGCACUCCUUGUUCUGCCACUGGUGUUGCCGCCGCUGCCGCCGCCGCCGACCAUACUCAUGUUUGUUCCUCUUCUGAUAAUCCUGAUUCUUGUGGCCUAUGCUUUUGCAUUUUCUUCCAAACAUGACCCUGAAAUGAUCUCCCAUUACUAUAAUAAUCUAUGCUGUUAAUUUCUCUCUUUGGGAAUACACAAAUUUCAAAUGGAGAUUAUUGCAUGCAUGCAUUCUAUUCAUUAGUAAUAUUAACUACUAAUCUAUUGGAUUUGUUGUGUAAAGACUACUUGAAUAGUCCAUUCUUUUUAUUUUUAUUUUAAUCUUUUAUUCUGCUAUCUCUCUCUCCCUCUCCUUUGAGGAUUAUCUUUUAUGAGCCCAGAAAGCUGGUGCUUUAGAUUGUUGACUGUCUGAGCAAUGUAGGUGAUUUAUUCAACAAUAGGAAGCAUUAUUUUCAUAUUUU
rnacentral:lncRNA from 1 species